GACAGAGGGUGCAAACGUUGUUCGGAAUUACUGGGCGUAAAGCGCGUGUAGGCGGCUUGGCAAGUCGGGUGUGAAAGCCCCGGGCUCAACCUGGGAAGUGCACUCGAAACUGCUUCGCUUGAGUACUGGAGAGGGUAGUGGAAUUCUCGGUGUAGAGGUGAAAUUCGUAGAUAUCGAGAGGAACAUCGGUGGCGAAGGCGGCAUCCUGGACCGAGAUUGACGCUGAGGCGCGAAAGCGUGGGGAGCGAACAGG
rnacentral:rRNA from 1 species